rnacentral:rRNA from 2 species
CUAUAGCGGAGGAGGAGGGACAUUACCGAGUUUACACUCCCAAACCCCUGUGAACAUACCACUUGUUGCCUCGGCGGAUCAGCCCGCUCCCGGUAAAACGGGACGGCCCGCCAGAGGACCCCUAAAACUCUGUUUCUAUAUGUAACUUCUGAGUAAAACCAUAAAUAAAUCAAAACUUUCAACAACGGAUCUCUUGGUUCUGGCAUCGAUGAAGAACGCAGCAAAAUGCGAUAAGUAAUGUGAAUUGCAGAAUUCAGUGAAUCAUCGAAUCUUUGAACGCACAUUGCGCCCGCCAGUAUUCUGGCGGGCAUGCCUGUUCGAGCGUCAUUUCAACCCUCAAGCACAGCUUGGUGUUGGGACUCGCGUUAAUUCGCGUUCCUCAAAUUGAUUGGCGGUCACGUCGAGCUUCCAUAGCGUAGUAGUAAAACCCUCGUUACUGGUAAUCGUCGCGGCCACGCCGUUAAACCCCAACUUCUGAAUGUUGACCUCGGAUCAGGUAGGAAUACCCGCUGAACUUAAGCAUAUAAUAACCCGGGAGAGAACU